CAACAGGGAUUGCCUCAGUAACGGCGAGUGAAGCGGCAACAGCUCAAAUUUGAAAUCUGGCCUCUUGGGGGUCCGAGUUGUAAUUUGUAGAGGAUGUUUCGGGUACCGCCUCGGUUUAAAUUUCUUGGAACAGAAUGUCAGAGAGGGUGAGAAUCCCGUCUUGGACCGGCGGUAGGGCCCAUGUGAAACUCCUUCGACGAGUCGAGUUGUUUGGGAAUGCAGCUCAGAAUGGGUGGUAAAUUUCAUCUAAAGCUAAAUAUUGGCCAGAGACCGAUAGCGCACAAGUAGAGUGAUCGAAAGAUGAAAAGAACUUUGAAAAGAGAGUUAAACAGUAUGUGAAAUUGUUGAAAGGGAAGCGCUUGCAACCAGACUUGAGCGCGGCGGUUCCCCCUUCCUUUUGGUUGGGUUACUCCGCCGUGUCCAGGCCAACAUCGGUUCUGGGGGUCGGUUAAAGGCCCGGGGAAUGUAUCUACUCCUCCGGGGGUAGACUUAUAGCCCCGGGUGUCAUGCGACCACCCGGGACCGAGGAACGCGCUUCGGCUCGGAUGUUGGCGUAAUGGUUGUCAGCGACCCGUCUUGAAACACGGACCAAGGAGUCUAACAUCUAUGCGAGUGUUUGGGUGUCAAACCCGGAACGCGGAAUGAAAGUGAACGGAGGUAGGAAGCCUUUAGGCUGCACUAUCGACCGAUCCUGAUGUCUUCGGAUGGAUUUGAGUAAGAGCAUAGCUGUUGGGACCCGAAAGAUGGUGAACUAUGCCUGAAUAGGGUGAAGCCAGAGGAAACUCUGGUGGAGGCUCGCAGCGGUUCUGACGUGCAAAUCGAUCGUCAAAUUUGGGUAUAGGGGCGAAAGACUAAUCGAACCAUCUGGU
rnacentral:rRNA from 1 species